AGAGGAGGGGUGAAAGCGCUGACAGGGGUGAUGGCCUCGGCAACUCCCUUGUGCUUUUUUGUGCUCAUAUUUGUGUGCGGUCGUGCAUUUGUUUCUUAGUAGAUUUAUCACGUGUACUUACAUCCGGUGAAGUGGAACUUUAAAUGUAAGGGCAUCAAUGAGAGCGUCACACACUUCUGGAACUAUGGCAGAUAUUAACUGUUUUGACUCUUUGAAGGUAUACAUCAGGCUUAUAAACGAGUCCCCACUGAAUGCCUGAGGCCUCUGUUUUCUCUCCAUGUGGUACUGAGACUCUGAUAUUCCUUAGUAUCUCAUCUCAUGUUAUGAAAUUUGAAAAUGCAACUGAAUGUGUAUAUGUCAUAUCAAAUUAGAUAUGUCUCAUUACAGAUGAAACCUUCAAGAUCCCUCGUGAGUGAUGUUGACAGUUUCAACUGUAUUUACCAUUUGAUAAAAUUUUCGAAUAAGUUAAGAGUACUUGUAGAGUCUGCCAGUAGAAGCAACGAAUCACUGACCCAUCCUUAGGGACACCCUGAGUGCCAAAUUGCUACUGAAGUUAGAUCAUUUUGAUUCCCAAUCAUCAGAGAAUCUGAUGUUUGUAUUGAAAUUAUUGUCAGUUUUAGAUUUUAGAAAGUAAUUAUUAUCCUGAAAAGAAUAUGUCAGUCUUCUUAUCUCCAAGAUCUAAUGGCAAACUCUCAGUAGGCCCUUGUCUAAAUUCUGAUGAGGUCGUAAGAAAGACAUUACCAGUUUGUGCAUUUGAAGCCCAUUUCAAUAGUGCCCGGCAAGCUCAAACUCUGAUUAGAUUGUAACAAUAGAUGUAAGAAAUAAAUCU